rnacentral:rRNA from 1 species
UCAAGCCAUAUCACCCUGCAGCCCAAGACCAGUUACUCACUAAAGCUAAGCAGGGCUGAGCCUGGUCAGUACCUGAAAGUGAGACCGACCACAUGAGAUAAAUUGGUAGCUGUUUGAA